GCACAAGCGGUGGAGUAUGUGGUUUAAUUCGACGCAACGCGCAGAACCUUUACCUGGUCUUGACAUCCCGAGAAUUUUCUGGAAACAGAGAAGUGCCUCGCAAGAGGAAUUCGGAGACAGGUGCUGCAUGGCUGUCGUCAGCUCGUGUCGUGAGAUGUUGGGUUAAGUCCCGCAACGAGCGCAACCCUUGUCUUUAGUUGCCAUCAUUAAGUUGGGCACUCUAAAGAGACUGCCGGUGUCAAACCGGAGGAAGGUGGGGAUGACGUCAAGUCCUCAUGGCCUUUAUGACCAGGGCUACACACGUGCUACAAUGGCCGGUACAAAGAGUUGCGAUACCGCGAGGUGGAGCUAAUCUCAUAAAGCCGGUCUCAGUUCGGAUUGGAGUCUGCAACUCGACUCCAUGAAGUUGGAAUCGCUAGUAAUCGCGGAUCAGCACGCCGCGGUGAAUACGUUCCCGGGCCUU
rnacentral:rRNA from 1 species